rnacentral:rRNA from 1 species
CCAAAACAUUUCCUUUAGUUUAUUUUUAAAGGUAAUUUCUGCCCUAUGAAUUUUAAAUGGCUGCAGUACCCUGACUGUGCAAAGGUAGCAUAAUAAUUAGUCAUUUAAUUGUUGACUUGUAUGAAUGAAUACAUGAGAUGUAAAUUUUAUUAAUUUUAAUGUUUAAAUUUUAUUUUUAGGUAAAAAAGCUUAAUUGAAUUUUAGGGACGAUAAGACCCUAUAGAACUUUAUAAGUUUAUUAAAUUAACUGAAUUUAGAAGUUUAUUUUAUUUAUUUUAUUAAAAUUUGUUUGGUUGGGGUGAUAAGUAAAAUUUUACUUUACUUUAUUUAAUCAUUAAAUUUAUGUUUUUAUUGAUCCACUGUUUAGAUAAAAAGAAAAAGUUACCUUAGGGAUAACAGCGUAAUUUUAGUGGGGAGUUCUUAUUUAUACUAAAGUUUGCGACCUCGAUGUUGAAUUAAGAUUAGUUUAGGGGGUAGGUGUCUAAAACUAAGUCGUCCGACCAA